GACGAACGCUGGCGGCGUGCUUAACACAUGCAAGUCGAACGGUGAAGGGACCGGUUUUUGCUGGUUCUGGAUGAGUGGCGAACGGGUGAGUAACACGUGAGUAACCUGCCCCCUUCUUCUGGAUUACCGCAUGAAAGUGUGGCUCAUACGGGAUAUUCUGCGCCUGCUGCAUGGUGGGUGUGGGUAAGGUGUUGUUUCGGUGGGGGAUGGGCUCGCGGCCUAUCAGCUUGUUGGUGGGGUGAUGGCCUACCAAGGCGGUGACGGGUAGCCGGCCUGAGAGGGUGGACGGUCAGAGUGGGAGAGAGACAAGGCACAGACUGAGACGGGAGGCAGAAGUGGGGAAGAUGGAACAAUGGGCGAAGGCGUGAUGCAGCGAGGCGGCGUGAGGGAUGGAGGCCUGCGGGUGGUAAACCUCUUUCGCGAGUGAAGCAGGCCUGUCCCUGUUGUAGGUGGGUUGACGGUAGCUGGAUAAGAAGCGCCGGCUAACUACGUG
rnacentral:rRNA from 1 species